rnacentral:rRNA from 1 species
AUGCGGAGGGUGCGAGCGUUAAUCGGAAUUACUGGGCGUAAAGCGUACGUAGGCGGUUGGUUAAGUUAGAUGUGAAAGCCCCGGGCUUAACCUGGGAACUGCAUUUAAAACUGGCGAACUAGAGUUGAGUAGAGGGGAGUGGAAUUUCAGGUGUAGCGGUGAAAUGCGUAGAGAUCUGAAGGAACACCAGUGGCGAAGGCGACUCCCUGGACUCGAACUGACGCUGAGGUACGAAAGCGUGGGUAGCAAACGGGAUUAGAAACCCUAGUAGUCC